CGGGGAUUUGUUGGAAUUUCUGGCGUAGUUUAAACGCAGGACUCUGACUCCGUAUGUGGAGGUUCGAAUCCUCCAUCCCCAGCCA
rnacentral:tRNA from 1 species